rnacentral:rRNA from 1 species
GUCGCAAGACCAAAGUGGGGGACCUUCGGGCCUCAUGCCAUCAGAUGUGCCCAGAUGGGAUUAGCUAGUAGGUGGGGUAACGGCUCACCUAGGCGACGAUCCCUAGCUGGUCUGAGAGGAUGACCAGCCACACUGGAACUGAGACACGGUCCAGACUCCUACGGGAGGCAGCAGUGGGGAAUAUUGCACAAUGGGCGCAAGCCUGAUGCAGCCAUGCCGCGUGUGUGAAGAAGGCCUUCGGGUUGUAAAGCACUUUCAGCGGGGAGGAAGGCGGUAAGGUUAAUAACCUCAUCGAUUGACGUUACCCGCAGAAGAAGCACCGGCUAACUCCGUGCCAGCAGCCGCGGUAAUACGGAGGGUGCAAGCGUUAAUCGGAAUUACUGGGCGUAAAGCGCACGCAGGCGGUCUGUCAAGUCGGAUGUGAAAUCCCCGGGCUCAACCUGGGAACUGCAUUCGAAACUGGCAGGCUAGAGUCUUGUAGAGGGGGGUAGAAUUCCAGGUGUAGCGGUGAAAUGCGUAGAGAUCUGGAGGAAUACCGGUGGCGAAGGCGGCCCCCUGGACAAAGACUGACGCUCAGGUGCGAAAGCGUGGGGAGCAAACAGGAUUAGAUACCCUGGUAGUCCACGCCGUAAACGAUGUCGAUUUGGAGGUUGUGCCCUUGAGGCGUGGCUUCCGGAGCUAACGCGUUAAAUCGACCGCCUGGGGAGUACGGCCGCAAGGUUAAAACUCAAAUGAAUUGACGGGGGCCCGCACAAGCGGUGGAGCAUGUGGUUUAAUUCGAUGCAACGCGAAGAACCUUACCUGGUCUUGACAUCCACAGAACUUUCCAGAGAUGGAUUGGUGCCUUCGGGAACUGUGAGACAGGUGCUGCAUGGCUGUCGUCAGCUCGUGUUGUGAAAUGUUGGGUUAAGUCCCGCAACGAGCGCAACCCUUAUCCUUUGUUGCCAGCGGUCCGGCCGGGAACUCAAAGGAGACUGCCAGUGAUAAACUGGAGGAAGGUGGGGAUGACGUCAAGUCAUCAUGGCCCUUACGACCAGGGCUACACACGUGCUACAAUGGCAUAUACAAAGAGAAGCGACCUCGCGAGAGCAAGCGGACCUCAUAAAGUAUGUCGUAGUCCGGAUUGGAGUCUGCAACUCGACUCCAUGAAGUCGGAAUCGCUAGUAAUCGUAGAUCAGAAUGCUACGGUGAAUACGUUCCCGGGCCUUGUACACACCGCCCGUCACACCAUGGGAGUGGGUUGCAAAAGAAGUAGGUAGCUUAACCUUCGGGAGGGCGCUUACCACUUUGUGAUUCAUGACUGGGGUGAAGUCGUAACAAGGUAACCGUAGGGGAACCUGCGGUUGGAUCACCUCCUUA